AGGCAAGGACACACUAAUUAAGUGGUGAUCUCUUGGUUGAUGGUUGGCAACAAUAAGUUUGCAAUUCUCUAUGCCUCUCAAGUUCUCUCUUGACAUGGCCCCGGAUAAAUUGCUAUAUC